rnacentral:rRNA from 1 species
GACGAACGCUGGCGGCGUGCUUAACACAUGCAAGUCGAACGGUAAGGCCCUUCGGGGUACACGAGUGGCGAACGGGUGAGUAACACGUGGGUGAUCUGCCCUGCACUUCGGGAUAAGCCUGGGAAACUGGGUCUAAUACCGGAUAGGACCACUGCCUGCAUGGGUGGUGGUGGAAAGCUUUUGCGGUGUGGGAUGGGCCCGGGGCCUAGCAGCUUGUUGGUGGGGUGUUGGCCUACCAAGGCGACGACGGGUAGCCGGCCUGAGAGGGUGACCGGCCACACUGGGACUGAGAUACGGCCCAGACUCCUACGGGAGGCAGCGGUGGGGAAUAUUGCACAAUGGGCGCAAGCCUGAUGCAGCGACGCCGCGUGAGGGAUGACGGCCUUCGGGUUGUAAACCUCUUUCAGCACCGACGAAGCGCGAGUGACGGUAGGUGCAGAAGAAGGACCGGCCAACUACGUGCCAGCCGCCGCCGUAA